GGGCAAACACGCUUCCUCUGCGUGUUUGUCUAUUUAAUUUUUGGUUCAAACUUUUAUUUACGGUCAUUAUAAUCCGAUCGAAGAACAAAAGAACAUCUACUUCCUCAGCGUUUCUCCUGUCAGGACACUUCGGCGGCAACCAGUAAGCCGCUGACCUCUGCAAUGAUAACUUUUCUCUUCAAGCAUUUGAAUGUGAUGCGCUGUAUUUCUCCCUGAGGCCACUUGAGGUCGCUAUAACAUCAUUGGGAUCCUUUCCGGACGGGCCUGCAGGCCUCACCAGAAUGAGCACAUGAGACAGGUCACAGUCGAACCCGGGACUGACUGUCGUUGCUCUUGCCUGGUCUGAUUCCAGAGCCAGCGCUAGUUUUUUUGUUUUGUAAUGUGGUGACCAGAAUUGUAUACGAUAUUCUAAAUGUGGUCUUGGAAUUUUCUGCAAUUUAGACAACAUCACUUGCUUGAAAUUAAUCACUUUUAAUGUCAUGAUAGUCUGUUUAACAUUUUUUAUGGCCUAGAAGACGACAAUGAUGUGCUAACAAGACAGUCCAAGACAGUAUGAGCUGUUUAUCAUGCCUGUGGUUUGUUUGUGAUACUGCAUUCAACACUGUGCACCUGUGUAAUUUUAAUUUACUCUGUAAACUGUUUGCUCAGACGUCUUGA